AUUGAACGCUGGCGGCAGGCUUAACACAUGCAAGUCGAGCGAGCGGCGGACGGGUGAGUAAUGUCUGGGAAACUGCCUGAUGGAGGGGGAUAACUCCUGGAAACGGUAGCUAAUACCGCAUACCAUCGGAUGUGCCCAGAUGGGAUUAGCUAGUAGGUGGGGUAAUGGCUCACCUAGGCGACGAUCCCUAGCUGGUCUGAGAGGAUGACCAGCCACACUGGAACUGAGACACGGUCCAGACUCCUACGGGAGGCAGCAGUGGGGAAUAUUGCACAAUGGGCGCAAGCCUGAUGCAGCCAUGCCGCGUGUAUGAAGAAGGCCUUCGGGUUGUAAAGCACUGUCAGCGAGGAGGCGUUACUCGCAGAAGAAGCACCGGCUAACUCCGUGCCAGCAGCCGCGGUAAUUC
rnacentral:rRNA from 1 species